AAUUAAUGAACUUGUAAAAGUAUAUGUCUUGAAAACAUAAAAAAGAGGAAAAUCCUCUAUUAAUUU
rnacentral:tRNA from 1 species